rnacentral:rRNA from 1 species
ACGCACGCUGGCGGCGUGCUUCACCCCUGCAAGUCGAACGGAAAGGCCCUGCUUUUGUGGGGUGCUCGAGUGGCGAACGGGUGAGUAACACGUGAGUAACCUGCCCUUGACUUUGGGAUAACUUCAGGAAACUGGGGCUAAUACCGGAUAGGAGCUCCUGCUGCAUGGUGGGGGUUGGAAAGUUUCGGCGGUUGGGGAUGGACUCGCGGCUUAUCAGCUUGUUGGUGGGGUAGUGGCUUACCAAGGCUUUGACGGGUAGCCGGCCUGAGAGGGUGACCGGCCACAUUGGGACUGAGAUACGGCCCAGACUCCUACGGGAGGCAGCAGUGGGGAAUAUUGCACAAUGGGCGGAAGCCUGAUGCAGCAACGCCGCGUGCGGGAUGACGGCCUUCGGGUUGUAAACCGCCUUCGCCUGUGACGAAGCGUGAGUGACGGUAAUGGGUAAAGAAGCACCGGCUAACUACGUG